GCGGGAGUAGCACAGCGGUAGUGCGUCGCCUUGCCAAGGCGAAGGUCGUGAGUUCGAACCUCAUUUCCCGCUCCA
rnacentral:tRNA from 1 species